AUUGAACGCUGGCGGCACGCCUAACACAUGCAAGUCGAACGAGUGGCGGACGGGUGAGUAAUGUAUGGGAAACUGCCUGAUGGAGGGGGAUAACUACUGGAAACGGUAGCUAAUACCGCAUACCAUCGGAUGUGCCCAUAUGGGAUUAGCUAGUAGGUGGGGUAAAGGCUCACCUAGGCGACGAUCCCUAGCUGGUCUGAGAGGAUGAACAGCCACACUGGAACUGAGACACGGUCCAGACGCCUACGGGAGGCAGCAGUGGGGAAUAUUGCACAAUGGGCGCAAGCCUGAUGCAGCCAUGCCGCGUGUAUGAAGAAGGCCUUCGGGUUGUAAAGUACUUUCAGCGGUGAGGCGUUACCCGCAGAAGAAGCACCGGCUAACUCCGUGCCAACCGCGGCGGUAAUAC
rnacentral:rRNA from 1 species